rnacentral:rRNA from 1 species
AGAGAGAGACAUGCGCGCAUAUCAAUAAGCGGAGGAAAAGAAACUAACAAGGAUUCCCUUAGUAACGGCGAGUGAAGCGGGAAGAGCUCAAAUUUGAAAUCUUCAAGGUUCUACCUUGACGAAUUGUAGUUUAUAAGAAGUGUUUUCUGUUAGUGGAGUGGCAAAAGUUCUUUGGAAUAGGACAUCAUAGAGGGUGAGAAUCCCGUAUUUGGUCAUUCCUCCUAGCGUUGUGAUACACUUUCAACGAGUCGGAUUGUUUGGGAAUGCAGUCCAAAAUGGGUGGUAAAUUUCAUCUAAAGCUAAAUAUUGGCGAGAGACCGAUAGCGAACAAGUACCGUGAGGGAAAGAUGAAAAGAACUUUGAAAAGAGAGUUAAACAGUACGUGAAAUUGUCAAAAGGGAAGCGUUUGACACCAGUGUUGUUUUUCCGAAAAUCAAUUACGAAUGUUUUAUUUUUGAGGAGUUAUGACUUCAUCGGCUUGCUCCUUUCUUUACGAAACUUUCUUAAUGCACUUUUCGGUUAACAAGUCAACAUCAAUUUCUUUUGUUGUAAAAGGGUAUGAGGAAGGUGGCUUUCUUUUCGGAGAAAGUGUUUAUAGCCUCGUGCCUCUGCAAUCGGAGAGAUUGAGGUCUGCAGCGUAGAUCCUUCGGGGUUAGAUACAGUUUGUGCUAAGUUAUAGCUUUUCAUAGACAACUUGUUGACUAUGUUUAGUCUUGUAGCUUACUCGCUUAUGCUAUUUUACCUACGCUUAGGAUGUUGAUAGUCACAGCGUGUAC